GACGAACGCUGGCGGCGUGCUUAACACAUGCAAGUCGAACGGAAAGGCCCUGCUUUUGUGGGGUGCUCGAGUGGCGAACGGGUGAGUAACACGUGAGUAACCUGCCCUUGACUUUGGGAUAACUUCAGGAAACUGGGGCUAAUACCGGAUAGGAGCUCCUGCUGCAUGGUGGGGGUUGGAAAGUUUCGGCGGUUGGGGAUGGACUCGCGGCUUAUCAGCUUGUUGGUGGGGUAGUGGCUUACCAAGGCUUUGACGGGUAGCCGGCCUGAGAGGGUGACCGGCCACAAUGGGACUGAGAUACGGACCAGACUCCUAUGGGAGGCAGCAGUGGGGAAUAUUGCACAAUGGGCGGAAGCCUGAUGCAGCAACGCCGCGUGCGGGAUGACGGCCUUCGGGUUGUAAACCGCUUUCGCCUGUGACGAAGCGUGAGUGACGGUAAUGGGUAAAGAAGCACCGGCUAACUACGUG
rnacentral:rRNA from 1 species